rnacentral:ncRNA from 1 species
UGGAAACAUGUUCUCUUUCUUCUCCGGUCUUCUUCUGAAGGGAGACUUAGAGUAACUAAUAGCUGUUGUUAUAUGAUUAGGAGGUUACGAGUUUAAGUCGUAAAAAAUAUUUCUUAUAGAAAUAUAAGGUGAGACUAUUGGGCUCACGUCUGAUUAGCUAGUUGGUGAGGCAAUAGCUUAUCAAGGCGAUGAUCAAUAGCUGAUCCGACAGGAUGAUCAGCCACACUGGGAUUGAGAUAUGGUCCAGACUCUUAUGGGAGGCAGCAGUGGGGAAUUUUCCGUAAUGGGCGAAAGCCUGACGGAGCAAUGCCGCGUGGAGGUAGAAGGCCCACGGGUCGUGAACUUUUUCUGGAGAAGAAGCAAUGACGGUAUGCGGGGAAUAAGUCUCGGUUAACUCUGUACCAGCAAUUGCGGUAAUACAGAGGAUGCAA